rnacentral:rRNA from 1 species
AACGAACGCUGGCGGCAUGCCUAACACACGCAAGUCGAACGAGACCUUCGGGUCUAGUGGCGCACGGGUGCGUAACGCGUGGGAACCUGCCCUUAGGUUCGGUAUAACUCCCCGAAAGGGGUGCUAAUACCGGAUAAUGUCUUCGGACCAAAGAUUUAUCGCCUUUGGAUGGGCCCGCGUUGGAUUAGCUAGUUGGUAGGGUAAAAGCCUACCAAGGCGACGAUCCAUAGCUGGUCUGAGAGGAUGAUCAGCCACACUGGGACUGAGACACGGCCCAGACUCCUACGGGAGGCAGCAGUGGGGAAUAUUGGACAAUGGGCGAAAGCCUGAUCCAGCAAUGCCGCGUGAGUGAUGAAGGCCUUAGGGUUGUAAAGCUCUUUUACCCGGGAUGAUAAUGACAGUACCGGGAGAAUAAGCUCCGGCUAACUCCGUG